GGGAGAUAUUGGACCGGACCCGAUCCGACGACGACACUAUCCGUUCCCACUCACACCCGCGGUCUCCGCCGAUCGAAGCUUCCGGCGAUGUUCCCGUGCGGCCCCCUGGCGCCGCCGCGCCUUCUCGCCGUCGUCGCGCGGCCGGUCUCCGCGCGGCCGCCGCCCUUGUCGCUGCGCGUGGUGCGGUGCAUGGCGAAGGAGCGGCGGGUGCGGAUGGUGGCGAAGCAAAUCCAGCGGGAGCUCGCGGACAUGCUCACCCGUGACCCCAUCCUGCAGCGCGCCGUGCUCCCCGAGGCCGCGCUCGGCGCUGACCGGUACCUCUCCUCCCUCACCACCAUCGCCGACGUCGAGCUCUCCAACGAUCUCCAGGUGUGCAAGGUGUACGUGUCCGUGUUCGGGGACGAGAGGGGGAAGAAGGUGGCCAUCGAGGGGCUCAAAGCCAAGACCAAGUACGUCAGGAGCCAGAUAGGCAAGCGGAUGAAGCUGCGCCUCACGCCCGAGAUACGGUUCAUCGAGGACGAGUCCAUGGAGCGUGGAAGCAGGAUCCUUGCUAUACUUGACAAACUAAAGGAGGAAAGGGAACAACAAGAAGGAAAUGAUGGAGAAGAAGAUGCAGAAGGUUCAAAUAUAUCAGAAGAAGAAGAUGGUGACUGGGACGCAGACGAGCCAGAUGAGGAGGAUAUCAUUUAUGUAAAAUAGCCAAUUGUGUGUUCUUGGAACUUGGUUGCUAUUCAUCCUUCCUCAGAACACAGCAGCUUAUGUGUUCAGUUCUUUUAGAGUUCGAUCCUGCGAAGUUGAGAACUUACUGCUCACCUGCUUGACAAGGUGCUCCGGAGUAUCUCAGCACUUGAAGCAGGCCAUAUCACAUCUUUGUUGCUGAUUAGAAGCAGGCCAUAUCCUCUUUCUCAUGGUUGUAAGUCCGGAGGAUAUUUUGAAGGGGAAUUCGGAAGACAUAUCAUCAUAUUCAGUUUGCUAGAUUAUGGUAUCUGACCAUCGAUGAAAGGCAGUUUUGACUGAUGUUCAUCUUUGUUUUAUGUUGACUAGGACUUGUUAUAUGUGUUCCUGAUAUGUCUACUUAUCUUACUAAAUAUCAAUUUUCAUUUUAUUAUAUGGUCAGGAACAGUCUUGUACCUCUUUCCCUAAGUUAUUAUGUAAUAGAUAAUAUCAGUUUGAUGUAAUGAUAAAGGAACACUUUUCGAUC